rfam:Pseudomonas sp. HPB0071 genomic scaffold aczIi-supercont1.1, whole genome shotgun sequence.
CGUGCGGUAUUCGGCAAUGACGCCGGGUGGCGGCACGGCACGAACUCGAGGA